CCUACGGGAGGCAGCAGUGGGGAAUAUUGGACAAUGGGGGAAACCCUGAUCCAGCGACGCCGCGUGUGUGAAGAAGGCCUGCGGGUUGUAAAGCACUUUUAGUGGGGAGGAAAACCCCUGACCUAACACGUCAGGAAUUGACUUAACCCAAAGAAAAAGCACCGGCUAACUCUGUGCCAGCAGCCGCGGUAAUACAGAGGGUGCAAGCGUUAAUCGGAAUUACUGGGCGUAAAGCGUGCGCAGGCGGUUUUGUAAGACAGAUGUGAAAUCCCCGGGCUUAACCUGGGAACUGCAUUUGUGACUGCAAGACUAGAGUGUGUCAGAGGGAGGUGGAAUUCCGCGUGUAGCAGUGAAAUGCGUAGAGAUGCGGAAGAACACCGAUGGCGAAGGCAGCCUCCUGGGAUAACACUGACGCUCAGGCACGAAAGCGUGGGGAGCAAACAGGAUUAGAUACCCUGGUAGUCCACGCCCUAAACGAUGUCAACUAGUUGUUGGGGAUUCAUUUCCUUAGUAACGUAGCUAACGCGUGAAGUUGACCGCCUGGGGAGUACGGCCGCAAGGUUAAAACUCAAAGGAAUUGACGG
rnacentral:rRNA from 1 species